rnacentral:rRNA from 1 species
GACGAACGCUGGCGGCGUGCCUAAUACAUGCAAGUCGAACGCACAGUUUAUACCGUAGCUUGCUACACCAUAGACUGUGAGUUGCGAACGGGUGAGUAACGCGUAGGUAACCUGCCUGGUAGAGGGGGAUAACUAUUGGAAACGAUCGCUAAUAUCGCAUAAUAUUAAUUAUUGCAUGAUAAUUAAUUGAAAGGUGCAAUUGCACCACUACCAGAUGGACCUGCGUUGUAUUAGCUAGUAGGUGAGGUAACGGCUCACCUAGGCGACGACACAGAGCCGACCUGAGAGGGUGAUCGGCCACACUGGGACUGAGACACGGCCCAGACUCCCACGGGAGGCAGCAGUAGGGAAUCUUCGGCAAUGGACGAAAGUCUGACCGAGCAACGCCGCGUGAGGGAAGAAGGUUUUCGGAUCGUAAAGCUCUGUUGUAAGAGAAGAACGGGUGUGAGAGUGGAAAGUUCACACUGUGACGGUAGCUUACCAGAAAGGGACGGCUAACUACGUG